rnacentral:rRNA from 1 species
GACGAACGCUGGCGGCGGGCUUAACACAUGCAAGUCGAACGGAAAGGCCCUGCUUUUGUGGGGUGCUCGAUUGGCGAACGGGUGAGUAACAAGUGAGUAACCUGCCCUUGACUUUGGGAUAACUUCAGGAAACGGGGGCUACUACCGGAUAGGAGCCCCCGCUGCAUGGCGGGGGUUGGAAAGUUUCGGCGGUUGGGGAUGGACUGGCGGCUUAUCAGCUUGUUGGUGGGGUAGGGGCUUACCCAUGCUUUGACGGAUAGCCGGCCUGCGAAGGUGACCAGCCACAUUGCGCCUGAGGUACGGCGCAGACUCCUACGGGAGGCAGUGGGCGCGAAUAUUGCACAAUCGGCGGACGCCUGAUGCGGCGGCGCUGGGUGUGGAAUGACGGCCUUCGGGUUGUGAACCGCAUUCGCCUGUGACGAAGCUGGAGUGACGGUACUGUGUAAAGAAGCACCGGCUAACUACGUG